UGGGGGUGGGGGGGUGGGGGUGUAGAUGAGUUAGCUUAGCAUUUAGCAUUAGUUCCACAACAUAAUUCAUGUUGGCAUUUCAGACUGUUCUGUAAGUAAAGGAAUAAUUUGUACAACCAAGACAUGUGAGAGGCAGACAGGUGAGAAGUAGACAGGUGAGAGGCAGACAGGUGGGAUACAGACAGGUGAGAAACAGACGGGGUGCUGCUGUGAAGCCAUCAACAUGUUCCCAUAGCUACCAGAGCAGAUUAACACCAAAACUUGACCUACUGCUGUAUUUACCCCCUACUUCAACAAGCCCCGCCCUCACAUGCACCUGACACCCGACAGGUUAAAGCACACGUCUGUUUGGUUGGUUGACUCAGGUGUAUUUGCUCCUGAUUGUGACGGGAGACAGCAGCUUUAUGAAACAUUCAGCAAACAGUUUGCAUCUGUAAUGAUAACCUGUGACUUUAUCUGUCUCACCUGGUGAGGUCACCUGUGACUUUACCUGUCUCACCUGGUGAGGUCACCUGUGACUUUACCUGUCUCACCUGAUGAGGUCACCUGUGACUUUACCUGUCUCACCUGGUGAGGUCUCAUCUGAUGAGGUCACCUGUGACUUUACCUGUCUCACCUGGUGAGGUCACCUGUGACUUUACCUGUCUCACCUGAUGAGGUCACCUGUGACUUUACCUAUCUCACCUGGUGAGGUCUCACCUGAUGAGGUCACCUGUGACUUUACCUGUCUUACCUGGUGAGGUCUCACCUGAGGAGGUCACCUGUGACUUUACCUGUCUCACCUGGUGAGGUCUCACCUGAUGAGGUCACCUGUGACUUUACCUGUCUCACCUGAGGAGGUCACCUGUGACUUUACCCGUCUCACCUGGUGAGGUCUCACCUGGUGAAGUCACCUGUGACUUUACCUGUCUCACCUGGUGUGGUCUCACCUGAGGAGGUCACCUGUGACUUUACCUGUCUCACCUGGUGUGGUCUCACCUGAGAAGGUCACCUGUGACUUUACCUGUCUCACCUGGUGAGGUCUCACCUGGUGAGGUCACCUGUGACUUUACCUGUCUCACCUGAUGAGGUCACCUGUGACUUUACCCGUCUCACCUGGUGAGGUCUCACCUGAUGAGGUCACCUGUGACUUUACCUGUCUCACCUGGUGUGGUCUCACCUGAGGAGGUCACCUGUGACUUUACCUGUCUCACCUGGUGAGGUCUCACCUGAUGAGGUCACCUGUGACUUUACCUGUCUCACCUGAUGAGGUCACCUGUGACUUUACCUGUCUCACCUGGUGAGGUCACCUGUGACUUUACCUGUCUCACCUGAUGAGGUCACCUGUGACUUUACCUGUCUCACCUGGUGAGGUCUCACCUGAUGAGGUCACCUGUGACUUUACCUGUCUCACCUGAUGAGGUCACCUGUGACUUUACCUGUCUCACCUGGUGAGGUCUCACCUGGUGAGGUCACCUGUGACUUUACCUGUCUCACCUGAUGAGGUCACCUGUGACUUUACCUGUCUCACCUGGUGAGGUCUCAUCUGAUGAGGUCACCUGUGACUUUACCUGUCUCACCUGGUGAGGUCACCUGUGACUUUACCUGUCUCACCUGAUGAGGUCACCUGUGACUUUACCUGUCUCACCUGGUGAGGUCACCUGUGACUUUACCUGUUUCACCUGGUGAGGUCACCUGUGACUUUAGCUGUUUCACCUGGUGGCUUUACCUGUCUCACCUGGUGAGGUCACCUGUGACUUUAGCUGUUUCACCUGGUGGCUUUACCUGUCUCACCUGGUGAGGUCACCUGUGACUUUACCUGUUUCAACUGAUGAGGUCACCUGUGACUUUACCUAUCUCACCUGGUGGCUUUACCUAUGUCACCUGGUGAGGUCACCUGUGACUUUACCUCUCUCUCACCUAGUAAGGUCUCACCUGAUGAGGUCACCUGGUGGCUUUACCUGUUUUAUCUGGUGUGGUCUCACCUAAUGAGGUCACCUGUAACUUUACCUGUCUCACCUGGUGGCUUUACCUGUCUCACCUGGUGAGAUCACCUGUGACUUUACCUGUCUCACCUGGUGGCUUUACCUGUUUCACCUGGUGUGAGCUCACCUGGUGAAGUCUCACCUAAUGAGGUCACCUGUGACUUUACCUGUCUCACCUGGUGGCUUUACCUGUUUCACCUGGUGUGGGCUCACCUGGUGAAGUCUCACCUAAUGAGGUCACCUGUGACUUUACCUGUCUCACCUGGUGGCUUUACCUGUCUCACCUGGUGAGAUCACCUGUGACUUUACCUGUCUCACCUGGUGGCUUUACCUGUUUCACCUGGUGUGGGCUCACCUGGUGAAGUCUCACCUAAUGAGGUCACCUGUGACUUUACCUGUCCCACCUGGUGAGGAUCUUUGGUUCUGACAUUCCGGUGCAAACUGUUUCUCCUGUGAAAUGUAAAAUAGCAUGAUGCUAACACUGUAACCACUCACUGUAUAGAAGCUAAUGCUGUGUCUCAGUUCACGCCUUCAUACUCACACUGACAGUAAAGUGGAGUGCACUGUAAUGGUGAACAAACAAGCAGCAGAUGUUUUGGCGGGUGACAAUCACGAUCAGUUGUUAAUGAUAAUAGUCCGCCCAGUUACAGUUCGCCAAUACUGAAGAAGACGAAGAAGAAGCGGUCAAAUGUUGCUACGUCACUUCCUGUUAGCUCACAACGGCCGUAUUUGAUUUGAGAUGACGCUACCCUUGAAACUCACGUACCACGCAAAUAAGUACACAGUGUGUACUACAUGUUAGUGUACUAAGGAAAGGAUGUGAACUGAGACACAGCUUAAAACUCAGCUCUGUAUUUACCCAUAAUGCAAUAGUAAUGUGCCAUUCUCUCAUCUCGCCAUGGAAACCCUUAUUAUGAAUUAUUUUACUCACCUGUCUGUGUAUUUAUUGUUUUUUGUCUAUUUAUUUAUUUAUUUGUUUGUCUGUAAUCCCAAACAGACUGACCCCUCCCUCUGGUGUCACGUUACAGACUGACCCCUCCCCCAGUGUCACGUUACAGACUGACCCCUCCCCCUGUGUUUGUUACUGAUUGACCAUUCCCCCUGGUGUCACGUUACAGACUGACCCCUCCCCCUGUGUUUGUUACUGAUUGACCAUUCCCCCUGGUGUCACAUUACAGACUGACCUUUCCCCCAGUGUCACAUUACAGACUGACCCCUCCCCCAGUGUCACGUUACAGACUGACCCCUCCCCCAGUGUCACGUUACAGACUGACCCCUCCCCCUGUGUUUGUUACUGAUUGACCAUUCCCCCUGGUGUCACGUUACAGACUGACGCCUCCCCCUGUGAAUGCUACAGAUUGACCACUCCCCCUGGUGUCACAUUACAGACUGACCUUUCCCCCAGUGUCACAUUACAGACUGACCCCUCCCCCAGUGUCACAUUACAGACUGACCCCUCCCCCAGUGUCACGUUACAGACUGACCCCUCCCCAGUGUCACGUUACAGACUGACCCCUCCCCCUGUGUUUGUUACAGAUUGACCACUCCCCCUGGUGUCACGUUACAGACUGACGCCUCCCCCUGUGAAUGCUACAGACUGACCCCUCCCCCUGUGUUUGUUACAGAUUGACCACUCCCCCUGGUGUCACAUUACAGACUGACCUUUCCCCCAGUGUCACAUUACAGACUGACCCCUCCCCCAGUGUCACGUUACAGACUGACCCCUCCCCAGUGUCACGUUACAGACUGACCCCUCCCCCUGUGUUUGUUACAGAUUGACCACUCCCCCUGGUGUCACGUUACAGACUGACGCCUCCCCCUGUGAAUGCUACAGACUGACCCCUCCCCCUGUGUUUGUUACAGAUUGACCACUCCCCCUGGUGUCACAUUACAGACUGACGCCUCCCCCUGUGAAUGCUACAGAUUGACCACUCCCCCUGGUGUCACAUUACAGACUGACGCCUCCCCCUGUGAAUGCUACAGAUUGACCACUCCCCCUGGUGUCACGUUACAGACUGACCUUUCCCCCAGUGUCACGUUACAGACUGACCUUUCCCCCAGUGUCACGUUACAGACUGACCCCUCCCCCUGUGUUUGUUACAGAUUCACCACUCCCCCAGUGAAUGUUACAGACUAACCCCUCCCCCUGUGAAUGCUACAGAUUGACCACUCCCCCUGGUGUCACAUUACAGACUGACCUUUCCCCCCGUGUCACGUUACAGACUGACCUUUCCCCCCGUGUCACGUUACAGACUGACCUCUCCCCCCGUGUCACGUUACAGACUGACCUCUCCCCCGUGUCACGUUACAGACUGACCUUUCCCCCAGUGUCACAUUACAGACUGACCUUUCCCCCAGUGUCACGUUACAGACUGACCUCUCCCCCCGUGUCACGUUACAGACUGACCUUUCCCCCAUGUCACAUUAAAGACUGACCUCUCCCCCCGUGUCACGUUACAGACUGACCUCUCCCCCCGUGUCACGUUACAGACUGACCCCUCCCCCCGUGUCACGUUACAGACUGACCUUUCCCCCAGUGUCACGUUACAGACUGACCUUUCCCCCAGUGUCACGUUACAGACUGACCCCUCCCCCCGUGUCACGUUACAGACUGACCUUUCCCCCAGUGUCACGUUACAGACUGACCCCUCCCCCCGUGUCACGUUACAGACUGACCUCUCCCCCCGUGUCACGUUACAGACUGACCUCUCCCCCGUGUCACGUUACAGACUGACCUUUCCCCCAGUGUCACGUUACAGACUGACCCCUCCCCCCGUGUCACGUUACAGACUGACCUUUCCCAGUGUCACGUUACAGACUGACCCCUCCCCCCGUGUCACGUUACAGACUGACCUUUCCCCCAGUGUCACGUUACAGACUGACCUUUCCCAGUGUCACGUUACAGACUGACCCCUCCCCCCGUGUCACGUUACAGACUGACCUUUCCCCCAGUGUCACGUUACAGACUGACCUUUCCCCAGUGUCACGUUACAGACUGACCUUUCCCCCAGUGUCACGUUACAGACUGACCUUUCCCAGUGUCACGUUACAGACUGACCCCUCCCCCCGUGUCACGUUACAGACUGACCUCUCCCCAGUGUCACGUUACAGACUGACCUUUCCCCCAGUGUCACGUUACAGACUGACCUUUCCCAGUGUCACGUUACAGACUGACCCCUCCCCCCGUGUCACGUUACAGACUGACCUUUCCCCCAGUGUCACGUUACAGACUGACCCCUCCCCCCGUGUCACGUUACAGACUGACCUUUCCCCCAGUGUCACGUUACAGACUGACCCCUCCCCCCGUGUCACGUUACAGACUGACCUUUCCCCCGUGUCACGUUACAGACUGACCUUUCCCAGUGUCACGUUACAGACUGACCUCUCCCCCGUGUCACGUUACAGACUGACCUUUCCCCCGUGUCACGUUACAGACUGACCCCUCCCCCCGUGUCACGUUACAGACUGACCUUUCCCCCGUGUCACGUUACAGACUGACCUUUCCCAGUGUCACGUUACAGACUGACCUCUCCCCAGUGUCACGUUACAGACUGACCUUUCCCCCAGUGUCACGUUACAGACUGACCUCUCCCCAGUGUCACGUUACAGACUGACCUUUCCCCCGUGUCACGUUACAGACUGACCUUUCCCAGUGUCACGUUACAGACUGACCCCUCCCCCCGUGUCACGUUACAGACUGACCUUUCCCAGUGUCACGUUACAGACUGACCUCUCCCCAGUGUCACGUUACAGACUGACCUUUCCCCCGUGUCACGUUACAGACUGACCUUUCCCAGUGUCACGUUACAGACUGACCUUUCCCAGUGUCACGUUACAGACUGACCUUUCCCCCGUGUCACGUUACAGACUGACCUUUCCCCCAGUGUCACGUUACAGACUGACCUUUCCCCCGUGUCACGUUACAGACUAUAUUAUUUGUUUGAGGAAUUGAACAUGUCUUUUACCCACUAAAUAAAAUGAAUGAAGGACCUGA